rnacentral:rRNA from 1 species
GAGUAAUGUCUGGGAAACUGCCUGAUGGAGGGGGAUAACUACUGGAAACGGUAGCUAAUACCGCAUAACGUCGCAAGACCAAAGAGGGGGACCUUCGGGCCUCUUGCCAUCAGAUGUGCCCAGAUGGGAUUAGCUAGUAGGUGGGGUAACGGCUCACCUAGGCGACGAUCCCUAGCUGGUCUGAGAGGAUGACCAGCCACACUGGAACUGAGACACGGUCCAGACUCCUACGGGAGGCAGCAGUGGGGAAUAUUGCACAAUGGGCGCAAGCCUGAUGCAGCCAUGCCGCGUGUAUGAAGAAGGCCUUCGGGUUGUAAAGUACUUUCAGCGAGGAGGAAGGUGUUGAGGUUAAUAACCGCAGCAAUUGACGUUACCCGCAGAAGAAGCACCGGCUAACUCCGUGCCAGCAGCCGCGGUAAUACGGAGGGUGCAAGCGUUAAUCGGAAUUACUGGGCGUAAAGCGCACGCAGGCGGUCUGUCAAGUCGGAUGUGAAAUCCCCGGGCUCAACCUGGGAACUGCAUUCGAAACUGGCAGGCUAGAGUCUUGUAGAGGGGGGUAGAAUUCCAGGUGUAGCGGUGAAAUGCGUAGAGAUCUGGAGG